CCCUUAGAUGUUCUGGGCCGCACGCGCGCUACACUGAGCCCUUCAUCGAGUUUACAACCUUGGCCGGUAGGUCUGGGUAAUCUUCUCAAAGGGGCUCGUGCUGGGGAUAGAUUAUUGUAAUUUUUAAUCUUCAACGAGGAAUUCCUAGUAAACGCAAGUCAACAGCUUGCAUUGAUUACGUCCCUGCCCUUUGUACACACCGCCCGUCGCUACUACCGAUUGAAUGGCUUAGUGAGCCCGAGGGACUGUUGCACCUAGAGGGUUUUCUCUCCAGGAGCAGCCAGGAACUCGGUCAAACUUGAUCAUUUAGAGGAAGUAAAAGUCGUAACA
rnacentral:rRNA from 1 species